ACUUGCCUGCGGUGUUGGUGAACUUCAAGUUUAAUUCGAACCGAACACCAAUUCACUGAGGGAGCCUUACAUUGAGUGAACAACAGCAUGCCUGUUUCAGGAAGCUGAAAUUCACUCUGCAGGCACCCACCUGCCUAAGGCGGGUUCGUGAAAUCUGGAAGAUAACCGCACAUGCGGGCAUCAU
rnacentral:other from 1 species